CCAACCUCUGCCAGACAACCGUGAUGAAGGGGAAUUCGCCGUACAUCGACUCAAGAUGCAGGAGGGACACAACGCAGUUUGCAUUACCAUCCGCCGGGACGGAAGAUAUAACCAAGGACUGCUACUAUCGGAGAUGGACAACCCGACAUUACAUCGCGUACUGAAAACCGUCGCGGGGACACACUACCGAGCCAUCACCAAGGCCGUAGCAGCCUCCGCCUACCGGCAGUUCCUCCCGCAGCUUGAGACCACCGAGUACAUCGGAUCACCCUAGACGCCAACCUUUGCUAGGACAGGUAGAUUGUAACGGCGCUGUAUCAGCAGGAAGACUGAAACGAGACUUGAUUGACACCACGAACCAGACAACCGUGCUCGAAAGAACUUUUUACGUGACGUAUCCAGAUAUAUUAGAACUUCAAAACGUGACGAAUACGGAUGGGCGUCUCGGGAAACUGGAGUGUGAGACCAGUGCGGCCAUGAAGGGAGGUCUUGGGGCGUUAGCCCUAGUUAUCGUUCUUUUGCUGCUCGUCUUGUUUAUUCAGUGGCGCGACAAUUGAAGUAAACAAGAGUAAUCUCCCCUACCUUCC